rnacentral:rRNA from 1 species
AGCGUAGGUGGCUCGAUAAGUCAGAUGUGAAAUCCCCGGGCUCAACCUGGGAACUGCAUCUGAUACUGUUGAGCUAGAGUAUGUGAGAGGAAGGUAGAAUUCCAGGUGUAGCGGUGAAAUGCGUAGAGAUCUGGAGGAAUACCGAUGGCGAAGGCAGCCUUCUGGCAUAAUACUGACACUGAGGCUCGAAAGCGUGGGUAGCAAACA